rnacentral:rRNA from 1 species
GCGAUUGAAUGAGCCGAUGUCGGAUUAGCUAGUUGGCGGGGUAAAGGCCCACCAAGGCGACGAUCCGUAGCUGGUCUGAGAGGAUGAUCAGCCACACUGGAACUGAGACACGGUCCAGACUCCUACGGGAGGCAGCAGUGGGGAAUAUUGGACAAUGGGCGCAAGCCUGAUCCAGCCAUACCGCGUGGGUGAAGAAGGCCUUCGGGUUGUAAAGCCCUUUUGUUGGGAAAGAAAUCCAGCCGGCUAAUACCCGGUUGGGAUGACGGUACCCAAAGAAUAAGCACCGGCUAACUUCGUGCCAGCAGCCGCGGUAAUACGAAGGGUGCAAGCGUUACUCGGAAUUACUGGGCGUAAAGCGUGCGUAGGUGGUCGUUUAAGUCCGUUGUGAAAGCCCUGGGCUCAACCUGGGAACUGCAGUGGAUACUGGGCGACUAGAGUGUGGUAGAGGGUAGCGGAAUUCCUGGUGUAGCAGUGAAAUGCGUAGAGAUCAGGAGGAACAUCCAUGGCGAAGGCAGCUACCUGGACCAACACUG